CUUUCAAACCCACAAAAAAAGGCUUUCAAACCCACAAAAAAAGGCAAAAAUAGGAAUAAAAACGAAAUUCUAGAAAAUUCUUUCAGACAAAGACAUCGUGCUUGAAUUGUCAAACAAAAUUCUUUAUCGUCUCCUUCUCUUCAUUCUCUGCAAUUUACAACCAUCUUACCAAAGGAAGUAAAACAGACUGUGUAUGGCUGAAAACCCAUCACUUGGCAAGGAGGUUUCUUUGGAUCUGGCCAGAGAAUUGCUUAUUGCAAUUUCUGAGUCUCUACCAGAAAAACUCGAGUCUGAGUCUCUACCUGAUAUUCUCAGUUUCGAAUCGGGCAAGGAAUCUACAAAUGAUCAUGGUGCUGCUUUGGUGAUAGGUGCGGAUAAAGAAGAAGAGCUUAGGUCAGAGUUGAUCUCAAUCUCGUAUGUACCUUCACCGGACAAGAUUGCACUUCCAGCUAAUGAUCAUCUAUGAAUAUGAUAUAUUGAUAGCACAGAUGAUGUGUAUUAUAUCUUGUUGGAAAGAUAUAGUUUACUGCCUUAGCUUUCUUUGACUAAUUCUUGAAAGUUUGACCAUUAGACAUGUACAUUAUGUGUUAUUGCAAGUUGUGUAUGAUUUGUGUGAUAUGAAUAUAUGAUAAGAUUGUUACAUUUGAUUUGGUUCU